rnacentral:rRNA from 1 species
AGGGUUCGAUUCUGGCUCAGGAUGAACGCUAGCGGCAGGCUUAACACAUGCAAGUCGAGGGACAGCGGGAUGUAGCAAUACAUUGCCGGCGACCGGCGGAUGGGUGCGUAACGCGUAUGCAACCUACCUUAUACAGGGGAAUAACCUUUCGAAAGGGAGACUAACACCCCAUAGUAUUGAUUUAAGGCAUCUUAGAUUAAUUAAAUAUUUAUAGGUAUAAGAUGGGCAUGCGUAUGAUUAGCUAGUUGGUAAGGUAACGGCUUACCAAGGCGACGAUCAUUAGGGGUUCUGAGAGGAAGGUCCCCACACUGGUACUGAGACACGGACCAGACUCCUACGGGAGGCAGCAGUGAGGAAUAUUGGUCAAUGGGCGCAAGCCUGAACCAGCCAUGCCGCGUGCAGGAAGACGGCCUUAUGGGUUGUAAACUGCUUUUACAUAAGACUAACCGUAUAUUUGCGAAUAUACCUGAAUGUAUUAUGAGAAUAAGGAUCGGCUAACUCCGUGCCAGCAGCCGC